ACCCCACCCUCUCUGUUUACAGCAGAAAUGCCUGAGGCUCAGAGGGGCCAAGAUCCCAAAUAAGGUCGCCAGCGAGUUGUGAGCACAGAGGAAACUGACCCUGGUCUCCUGGCCACCUCUCCACGUGGCCCCAGAGCUUGUCUCUUUCCAGUAAACUCUGCCCUAGAUAUAGGCUGCUGCUCCGCUGUUUUCCUCACAGCACAUACAAGGAACCUUUUCUCUUUGACACUUUCCCCUGGGCUUCCGAGUUUAUAUUCUUGUCUCUCUAUUCUCUGACCUCCCACUGCCCUGCCUGCUUCAAGCAGUUGUUUGUCUGUCCAUUCGUCCUUCCAUCUAUCUAUCCAUCCAUGCGCUCAUUCCUUGAUCAAGGGUUUAAGAACACCUCCAUGUCCCAGGCUCUGUUCUGGGCCAGCCAGACCUGGGUCUUGCAUGUUCUAGAAAACAGCAGAGACUUCAAAUGGAGACUCUCCCCAUCAUCCCAGAAGGCCUGUGAUUCAGGCCAUAAUGGGAAAGCACGAGGGCGAAUAGUGUGUGUGAGUCCUGGCCUGCUGGGAGAAGCAGGGAACUCUCUACAGGGAGUGACGUUAUUCUACCCCCUCCUUAAGUGCCACUGGUUCCUCAAGGUUAGGGACCUCAAGAUCUAGCCCUCUGUGUCUUCCCAACAAAAGCAUAGUAGUGGGGGCCCAGUGGUGCUCUGUGAAGCCUGGGGAGAUGAGUCGGGAGUCAGACGAGCAUGGCUUAUGGACACAGCUACAGUGAUGAAGCUUGGGGCAAAUUCUUUAACCCUCUUGAGCCUCAGUUUCCUCAUCUGUAAAGUGAGGAUGUAGGUGGCCCACCCUACAUCUAGGAAAUGGGGACAAAUAUACAGUCCCUUCUUUCCUUGGACUUGACACUGGGAAGACUCGUUUCUCAAGCCCUCCAGCUUGUUCCUUGUUCUGGCUUUUUGUUCCUUUUUAAUCUUGUGGUGCAAACGAAUAACAGGCUGACAUGAUAUGACUGAUAUGAAGUGGUUGUUAUUGUUGAAAAGAGCACCAGUUUUGAAAUCACAGGCUCGAGGGCUGCUUUUACCCCAAGUAACCGUGUGGACUUGGGCAAGCUUCUGUCUCCAAACCUCAUUUUCUCAUCUGUAAAAUCAGUCCACCUGUCUCCCAGAUGAUGGAGGUAUCAGAUGUCAGCGCUUGGAACUAUUGAGCAUUGUAACCUGGGUGAACUCCAUAGCAGGCUGAGGGUCUAACAAGAAAAUGGGUGGGAUGGAGGCCAGGCCAUCCAGCCCGGUGCCCCAGCUCUGGCCAUUAGCUGUGUGAGACCCUCGGCUCUUAUGCUGCGGAUUUCCAUCAGAACGAACAAGCAGCACUUGGGUGCAGGGGGCUGUGUUGUGGAGGGAGGGCCCAGCUGGUUCCCAGAUGCAGGCACGGCUACUGCAUGAGAGGACCUGGGAGGGCUCAUUACUGGCUUUGCUUCCACCUCUUCAUGCUCCCAACCCAGGAAGCACUAUCCUUCGGGUGGAGCCAUCAAAUAUUCAGAGCAGAAGAUGGUGGAGCUAUGAGCCAGGGAAAGCAGCCCCUCCUGGCCUUCAGGAAACUGAGGACCAGAGAGGCUGUCCAGCCGGCCUAAGGCCACACAGAAAGUCAGAGGCAGCACCAAGGUUGGAUCCAGUCUCUUGAUUCCCACUGGAGGACUCUUCCUGACAUUGGGCCGCCUGUCAUCCUUCACCAGAACUGCUAUGGUGGAGGAAGGACACCAGCAGUUACUGAGCAUCUACUAUGUACAGUGUACUUUGUAGGCUUUUGUGUGUAUUAGUUCAGUCACUCCUCCUGACACAUCCGGAAGAAGUGAUGCUAUGCUGUCCAUUUUACAGGUGGGAAAACUGAGGCUAAGGAAGAUGAAGUCCCUGAUCAAGUCACAGUAAGGCGAUGGCAAGGCUGGAAUCCAAACUUAGAUCGGUCUGCCUCCAAAGCCCAUGCUCUUUCUGUUCUCCCUACAACCU
ensembl:lncRNA